rnacentral:rRNA from 1 species
AACGAACGCUGGCGGCAUGCCUAACACAUGCAAGUCGAACGAGAACUUCGGGUCUAGUGGCGCACGGGUGCGUAACGCGUGGGAACCUGCCCUUAGGUUAGGAAUCACUCCCCGAAAGGGGUGCUAAUACCGGAUAAUGUCUUCGGACCAAAGAUUUAUCGCCUUUGGAUGGGCCCGCGUUGGAUUAGCUAGUUGGUAGGGUAAAAGCCUACCAAGGCGACGAUCCAUAGCUGGUCUGAGAGGAUGAUCAGCCACACUGGGACUGAGACACGGCCCAGACUCCUACGGGAGGCAGCAGUGGGGAAUAUUGGACAAUGGGCGAAAGCCUGAUCCAGCAAUGCCGCGUGAGUGAUGAAGGCCUUAGGGUUGUAAAGCUCUUUUACCCGGGAUGAUAAUGACAGUACCGGGAAAAUAAGCACCGGCUAACUCCGUG